rfam:Bacillus sp. FJAT-27916 Scaffold1, whole genome shotgun sequence.
GUCUAUCUUCGGGGCAGGGUGAAAUUCCCUACCGGCGGUGAUGAAUGUAUGCAUUCUAAGCCCGCGAGCCUUUCGGGGCAGGAUUUGGUGAAAUUCCAAAGCCGACAGUAUAGUCUGGAUGGGAGAAGAUGGAG